rnacentral:rRNA from 1 species
AUUGAACGCUGGCGGCAUGCCUUACACAUGCAAGUCGAACGGCAGCGGGGGAGAAGCUUGCUUUUCCUGCCGGCGAGUGGCGAACGGGUGAGUAAUACAUCGGAACGUGCCCUGUAGUGGGGGAUAACUAGUCGAAAGAUUAGCUAAUACCGCAUACGACCUGAGGGUGAAAGUGGGGGACCGCAAGGCCUCAUGCUAUAGGAGCGGCCGAUGUCUGAUUAGCUAGUUGGUGGGGUAAAGGCCUACCAAGGCGACGAUCAGUAGCUGGUCUGAGAGGACGAUCAGCCACACUGGGACUGAGACACGGCCCAGACUCCUACGGGAGGCAGCAGUGGGGAAUUUUGGACAAUGGGCGAAAGCCUGAUCCAGCAAUGCCGCGUGUGUGAAGAAGGCCUUCGGGUUGUAAAGCACUUUUGUCCGGAAAGAAAUGGCUCUGGUUAAUACCUGGGGUCGAUGACGGUACCGGAAGAAUAAGGAUCGGCUAACUACGUGCCAGCAGCCGCCGUAAUAC